AUGGUUGAAACUGAGAAAAUUUUGGUAUUCCCAUUGGUAUACAAAUUUAUUGAGUUGGCUUUGAUAUUGCCGGUAUCAACCACAUCUGUUGAGAGAGCAUUUUCAGCAAUGGAGAUUAUCAAGAAUAAAUUGCGUAGCAAUAUCAACAAUGAAUGGUUCAACGACUUGAUGAUAUGUUACACCGAGCGAGAGUUAUUCAAGUCAGUUGAUGAUAAGGACAUUAUUCGAACAUUUACAACAAUGAAGUCUCGGAAAGGACAUUUGCCUCUGUCUUCUACGACGUGUCGAUAG
rnacentral:rRNA from 1 species